ensembl:lncRNA
CACGGAACUCAGUGGCGGCUCUGAUAUGGACGGGUAGAGGGCCUGGCUCCCCUCCUUCCAGUGCCGCCUCAUCUACUUGUAUUUUCUUGUUGCUUUUUUUAAGAUUUUUUUUUUAUGUGCACCUUUUUUUUUCCUCCACCAGAGCAUCACUUUAUUAUUAAUCUGCCGUCAGCAAUCGAAAACUCUUUAAUGGGUAACCCCCCUAUCCUGGUGAAGUGGACCUUUUUAAAAAGUCUUGGAUUUGUUACAGUGUUUAUGUUUUGCUUUUUCAGCUUCAAGGCAUGUUGGGAUCUUUGUACCCCACCCCCACCCCGCCCCGACCAGGGUUGGAACCUGAAGCCCCUGCGUUGGAAGGCCUAAGUCUUUGGACCUUUGGACCACCAGGGAAGUCCCCCAUCCACCUGUAUUUUCAACAGCCAGCGGUGCUCGGGGCUAUGGCGGUGGACAAGGCAGGGUCCCUACCCCAUAAUGGGAUGAUAAUGAGUGGCAGUGGGAACCCACCAAGACGCAGAAAAGAUCUUUCUGGGCGGUGAAAAGCCAGGAGACUCAGGUCUGGGUUGAGAGACUGCGAUGAGCUUCAUUUAAAAUAGAGGGGAGGGACGCCUCUGCGAAGGUGAUAGUCUGCAGAGCUGAGGAAGGUACUCUCGGGCAGAAGGAGGGUCAAGUGCAAAAACCGGGAGACUGGAGCUUGGUGUCUGGGGAGCAGGAGGUGUGUUUGAGGGCAGACACGUCUGAGUAACCAAAGCGGGCCACUGUUUGGAAUUUGGAGCUUGUUCUGCAUGGCACUACUGAGUCUGAAUUAGGAGUGACACGAUAUGAUCUGCAUUUCAAGAAGUUCUCUAGGACUAGUGUGCUGAGACUGGGCGUCGUAGGAGGAGCAAGAUGGGGAACCGGGAGACUGCUGGGUGGCUCUGGCAGUGGUCUGGGUGAUGUCAGUUGAUAAACCUGGUGUACUAGCUCAGGCUGCUGUAACAAGAUACCAGCCAACCUGGAGGCUUAAACAAGAAUGCAUUUUCCCAGAGUUCUGGAGGCUGGAAGUCCAAGAUCAGGGUGUUGGCAGGGUUAGUUUCUCACUGGAACUGUCUGCUUGGCCGGCAGAGGGCCGCCUUCUCUCUGUGUCUUCACGUGGUCUUUCCUCUGUGUACAAGCCUUUCUCUUCCUAGGAAGACACCUAUCAUAUUGGCUUAGGGCCCCACCCUUAUGACUUCAUUUAAGCUUAAUUACCUCCUCGAAGGCCCUGUCUCCAGAUACAGUCAUGUCAGGAGUUAAAGCUUCAACAUAUGAAUUUGGAGGGGACACAAUUCAGUCCGUAACAUCAGCCUCUGGAACUCAAACCACCUGGAAAUGGUCCUUCUGGAAUAGUGGAUGGGAUCCAGGGAGCUCCAUUCAUCUGUUCAACAAAUCAACGUGGAUGGACUUAGAAAUUGCCAUAUGGAGGGAAGUGAGUCAGAACGAGGAAGGAGGAAUGCUUUAUGACACUGCUUAUGUGUGGAAUCUAAAACGAAACGAUACAAACGAGCUUAUUUACAAAACAG